UUUCCGUAGGUGAACCUGCGGAAGGAUCAUUAAAAAAUGUGGUACCAAUUAUUGGUACUGAUUAAUCAUCCUACCCUUUGUGAAUUUGUUUGUAUGAAUUUUUUUAAAUGGGUCUUUCCCUAAGUUGGAUUGUUAGUAAAAUACAAAAAGACUUAGGGGAAUGACUUUUUUAAAAGACUUUUUUUUAAUUAAAACUUUUUGUAUUCAUUUGUCUAAAAUUUAUUUUUAUAAUAUAAAAACAACUUUUGACAAUGGAUCUCUUGGUUCUCGCAACGAUGAAGAACGCAGCAAAAUGCGAUAAGUAGUGUGAAUUGCAGAAUACGUGAAUCAUCGAAUCUUCGAACGCAUAUUGCACUUUUUUAGUUUACUAAAAAAGUAUGUCUGUUUGAGUAUCAGUAAAAUAUUCUCACAAACAUAUAUUGUUUGUGGUUAUGAGUGUUUUACAACGAUAAACAAGUUGUUUCACUUUAAAUUCUUUUUAAUUGAAUUUUUACCAAUUCAUAAAUUAAAAUUGGAUAAAAUUUUCCUUUAACCGAGAAUAACCUAAACAAUUUUAAAUUUUAUGGAUUAAUAAACAUUCAUCAAAGGAAUCUAAUUAUACAUAAAUAACUUGAUCUCAAAUCAGAUAAGAGUACCCGCUGAACUUAAGCAUAUCAAUAAGCGGAGGAAAAGAAACUAACAAGGAUUCCCUUAGUAACGGCGAGUGAAGCGGGAAGAGCUCAAAUUUGAAAUCUUCAAGGUUUGACCUUGACGAAUUGUAGUUUAUAGAAGUGUUUUCUGUUGGAGUUUUGGUAAAAGUUCUUUGGAAUAGGACAUCAUAGAGGGUGAGAAUCCCGUAUUUGACCAUGACUUUCCAGCUGUGUGAUACACUUUCAAAGAGUCGGAUUGUUUGGGAAUGCAGUCCAAAAUGGGUGGUAAAUUUCAUCUAAAGCUAAAUAUUGGCGAGAGACCGAUAGCGAACAAGUACCGUGAGGGAAAGAUGAAAAGAACUUUGAAAAGAGAGUUAAACAGUACGUGAAAUUGUCAAAAGGGAAGCGUUUGACACCAGUGUUGUUUUCUCGAAAAUCAAUUUAAUGAGUUCUUGUUUUUAAGUUAUUGUGACUUUAUCAGCGCAUUUCUUAUUUUACUUGACUCAUUGAAUGCACUUUUCGUUUAACAAGUCAACAUCAAUUUCUUUGGUGGUAAAAAGUUUAAAGGAAGGUGGCUUGGACUUCGGUUCAAGUGUUUAUAGCCUUUUUUCUAUGCCAUCGGAGAGAUUGAGGUCUGCAGCGUAGAUCCUUCGGGGUUAGAUACCUUUGUGCUAAGUUAUAGUUUUUUAUAGACAACUUGUUGACUAUAAUUAACCCUGUAAUUUACUCGCUUAGGCUAUUUUACCUACGCUUAGGAUGUUG
rnacentral:misc_RNA from 1 species